rnacentral:rRNA from 1 species
UAGGGAAUAUUAGUAAUGGGCGAAAGCCUGAACUAGCAACGCCGCGUGUGUGAAGAAGGCCUUCGGGUUGUAAAGCACUUUUUGAGAGGAUGAGGAAGGACGGUACUCUCAGAAUAAGUCUCGGCUACCUAAGUGCCAGCAGCCGCGGUAACACGUAAGAGGCGAACGUUAUCCGGAUUUACUGGGCGUAAAGCGCGUGUAGGUGGUUUGGUAAGUAGGGCGUGAAAGCUCCUGGCUCAACUGGGAGAGGCCGUUCUAAACUGCCGAACUAGAGGAUGGUAGAGGGAGGUGGAAUUCCGGGUGUAGCGGUGGAAUGCGCAGAUAUCCGGAGGAACACCAGUGGCGAAAGCGGCCUCCUGGACCAUUCCUGACACUCAGACGCGAAAGCUAGGGUAGCAA